ensembl:lncRNA
AAAUUUGAAAAUAUUUUUAAAAUGAAAUACCCUAGUCUAGGAUACAGGUUGGACCAAUUAUGAUACAUCCAGACAAUGGAGAAUUGUAUAUUAUUUUUUGAAAAAUGGUCGGCUAUUAUGAAACAAAAAUUGAAGAUAAAGACCAUCAACAAGGGUGUGAAGCCAAUAUAGAAAAUGAUACAGAGGUUCCUAAAAUAUUAAAGGCAGAAUCAUAUGAUCAGCAAUCCAACAUCUGGGAAUAUAUCCAAAGAAUUAAAAUCAUGAUCUCAAGCAGAUAACCUGCUUUCACGUGUUCUCUGUAGCAUACCACGUACCUAAGAUAUAAAAGCAACCUAAAUGCCCAUUGAAGGAUAGAGAGGUAAAGAAAAUGAGGUAUUAAUAUGCAGUGAAUAAUAUUUAACCUUAAAAAAAGAAAAUUCUGCUAUUAGAGACAAUAUGGAUAAACCUGAGGACAUUAUACUAACACAGGGAACCAGAAAUAUUAAUACUAUAUGAUCUUACUUACUUGAGGACUCUAAAAAUAGUCAAACUCACAGAAACAGAGAGUAGAGAGGUGGUUCCCAGGGCUCAGAGCCUAUGAGGUGUCAGUUAUACAAGGUGAAUAGUUCCUAGAGAUGCUGGAUACAUCAGAGUGCCUAUAUAGUUAAUGAUCCUAAAUUGUAUACUUAGUAGUCUGCUAAGAGGGUGGAACUUAUGUCAAGUGUUCUUAUCACCAACAAUAAAUAAACAUUUAAAGAUGAGAAGAAACUUUUGAAGGUCAUGGAUGUGUUUUAUAGCAUUGACUGUGGUGAUGAUCAUGGCAUCCGGUCCCAUCACUUCAUGGGAAAUAGAUGGGGAAACAGUGGAAACAGUGUCAGACUUUAAUUUUUCUUGUGCUCCAAAAUCACUGCAGAUGGUGACUGCAGCCAUGAAAUCAAAAGAUGCUUACUCCUUGGAAGAAAAGUUAUGACCAACCUAGAUAGCAUAUUCAAAAGCAGAGACAUUACUUUGCCGACUAAAGGCCGUCUAGUCAAGGCUAUGGUUUUUCCUGUGGUCAUGUAUGGAUGUAAGAGUUGGACUGUGAAGAAGGCUGAACGCCAAAGAAUUGAUGCUUUUGAACUGUGGUGUUGAAGGAGACUCUUGAGAGUCCCUUGGACUGCAAGGAGAUCUAACCAGUCCAUUCUGAAGGAGAUCAACCCUGGGAUUUCUUUGGAAGGAAUGAUGCUGAAGCUGAAACUCCAGUACUUUGGCCACCUCAUGUGAAGAGUUGACUCAUUGGAAAAGACCCUGAUGCUGGGAGGGAUUAGGGGCAGGAGGAGAAGUGGACAACCGAGGAUGAGAUGGCUGGAUGGCAUCACGGACUCGAUGGACGUGAGUCUGAGUGAACUCCGGGAAUUGGUGAUGGACAGGGAGGCCUGGCAUGCUGCUAUUCAUGAGAUCACAAAGAGUCGGACACGACUAAGUGACUGAACUGAACUGAACUGUGGUGAUGAUUUCAGGCUUCCCUGAUGGCUCAGACAGUAAAGAAUCUACCUGCAAUGCAGGAGACCUGGGUUUGAUCCCUGAGUUGGGAAGAUUCCCCUGGAGGAGGGCAUGGCAGAGUACUCCAGUAUUCUUGCCUGGAGAAUCCCCAUGGACUGAGGAGCCUGGAGGGCUACAAUCCAUGGCGUCGCAAAGAGUCAGAUAUGACUGAGCCACUAAGCACAGCAAAGCAAGAAAGUUGCCAACUUAAGAAGUAUUGUCUGAAAAGCAAUUCAUUGAAACCAAGUUUACCAGGCACACACACACAAAUGCAAACAUUUUAAAGGGUAAGUCAUGAAGAUGAACAGUUGCUUUACUUAUAUGAGCAUAGGAUUAAUUCAUGUGGGUUAUGAAACAGGUGAGAAAAGAAUCUGUUUAGAACAGAUAAUUGAAUUUUAGCUAUGUAUUUGAAUGCUUUAAGGGGGGA